GCACAGGUGAAAGUGGCCGAGGUGGAGGGC
rnacentral:piRNA from 1 species